GACGAACGCUGGCGGCGUGCCUAAUACAUGCAAGUAGAACGCAGUUGCGAACGGGUGAGUAACGCGUAGGUAACUGCCUCAUAGCGGGGGAUAAACAUUGGAAAAGAUAGCUAAUACCGGCUUCUUUGAGAUGGACCUGCGUUGUAUUAGGUAUUUGGUGAGGUAAAGGAUCACCAAGGUCACGAUACGUACCCGCCCGGAGAGGGUGAUCGGCCAACCUGGGACUGGGCACCGGCCCAGACCUCUACCGGAGGCAGCAGUAGGGAAUCUUCGGAAAUGGACGGAAGUCUUACCGAGCAACGCCGCGUGAGUGGAGAAGGGUUUCGGAGUGUAAAGCUAUGUUGUUAGAGAAGCGGUAACUAACCAGAAAGGGACGGCUAACUACGUGCCAGCAGCCGCGGUAAUAC
rnacentral:rRNA from 1 species